UAGGGAAUCUUCGGCAAUGGACGAAAGUCUGACCGAGCAACGCCGCGUGAGUGAAGAAGGUUUUCGGAUCGUAAAACUCUGUUGUUAGAGAAGAACAAGGACGUUAGUAACUGAACGUCCCCUGACGGUAUCUAACCAGAAAGCCACGGCUAACUACGUGCCAGCAGCCGCGGUAAUACGUAGGUGGCAAGCGUUGUCCGGAUUUAUUGGGCGUAAAGCGAGCGCAGGCGGUUUCUUAAGUCUGAUGUGAAAGCCCCCGGCUCAACCGGGGAGGGUCCUUGGAAACUGGGAGACUUGAGUGCAGAAGAGGAGAGUGGAAUUCCAUGUGUAGCGGUGAAAUGCGUAGAUAUAUGGAGGAACACCAGUGGCGAAGGCGGCUCUCUGGUCUGUAACUGACGCUGAGGCUCGAAAGCGUGGGGAGCGAACAGG
rnacentral:rRNA from 1 species